GAUGAAGAACGUAGCGAAAUGCGAUAAGUAAUGCGAAUUGCAGAAUCCAGUGAGUCAUCGAAUCUUUGAACGCACAUUGCGCCCUGUGGUAUUCCGCAGGGCAUGCCUGUUCGAGCGUCAUUUCAACCCUCAAGCUCUGCUUGGUGUUGGGCCCUGCCCGCUGCGGCCGGCCCUAAAGACAGUGGCGGUGCCGCCUGGCCCUGAGCGUAGUACAUCUCUCGCUCCAGUGCCCGGUGGUAGCCUGCCAGAACCCCAACUCUCGUGGUUGACCUCGGAUCAGGUAGGGAUACCCGCUGAACUUAAGCAUAUCAAUAAGCGGAGGA
rnacentral:misc_RNA from 1 species